CUUCAGGGUACUUUGGGAAAGUAAAGCUUAGCCAUUUUUUUAGCCCUUCCCCCUUUUCCACUGGGGCAGGAGGGGAGCAGUGUGGCUUUGGCUAUUCGUUCCGCCGAUGGUAAGGCUUUCCAGAUCGAUGAUGGGACGGAGGUGAGGGGAGGGUGUGUUGGUUUGCCAUUAACAAAACCACAAAGGGCCAGAAAACCCAGUUCGUGUCUCAGGUUGCUCGGUAAAGGUUAAAAAAAAAAAAACUCAUAUUUCUCCCUUGUUGUUGUUGUUGUUGUUGUUUUAUAAGGAUUUGAUUCCUUCUUAUUACUUUUCCUUGUAAGAAAGAUUCUUGCUGAAAUAUUUGGGUUUGUCAACUCUGGAUUCACUAGCUUCAAAGAAUAAAAAAAAGGGUGAUUGCCUUCAUUCUAGAUGGAAAGUGGACACAAUUGGUGAUUCUCUUGGGGAGACUCUUAUGGGGUCUCCUAAUCAUUUCAAAAGAAAUUAGAGGUGAUUUCUCAACAUAGGAUUUCUCAGGCACACCAAUAUCAGAUAUAAGAAGAGGAUCUGAGAUCAAGUCUCCAGCAGAUAAAGAAUUUGCUAGAUUAUCCACCAACUCAACUUCAUCAGCCCAAGAUCUACCAUUAGAACAACCAGAAAGAUUACCAGUAACCUUACCAGAGGAAGAAGAAUUGAAGAUCCUAGGAUGAACACCGAUCAUACCAGGAGUAACUUGAAGAUGACGGGAAUCAUUCAGUGGAGUCGAAGAACUCAGGAUCUCCAUCAUCAAUCUCUUUUUCUUUUCCCCCUUUGGACCCGUUGACCCCAUCUCAAUCCAUGAAUCUUCACUAUCCUCAACAAAAGAGGUAUCAGAUUGAUCCUCAGGAGCUGACGAGUAAGGAUUUGAAGAUCUCAAACUAAUUUCCAAGAUUUUUCCUCCAUUUUUUUUCUUUUUCCUGACCAUUUGAAUCUAAGCGGGGGCGCAAAUUAGCAACGAAAAAAUCGCUCUCUAACCUGCGCCAUAACCGCUCAACUUUUACUUUAAAUUAACAUUAAUGAUAUGUGUCUUGUCUUAUUAUUGUUUAAGUUCUUUAAGAUUGAUGA